AACGAACGCUGGCGGCAGGCUUAACACAUGCAAGUCGAGCGCCCCGCAAGGGGAGCGGCAGACGGGUGAGUAACGCGUGGGAAUCUACCCGACCCUACGGAAUAACGCAUGGAAACGUGUGCUAAUACCGUAUACGCCCUACGGGGGAAAGAUUUAUCGGGGAUGGAUGAGCCCGCGUUGGAUUAGCUAGUUGGUGGGGUAAAGGCCUACCAAGGCGACGAUCCAUAGCUGGUCUGAGAGGAUGAUCAGCCACAUUGGGACUGAGACACGGCCCAAACUCCUACGGGAGGCAGCAGUGGGGAAUAUUGGACAAUGGGCGCAAGCCUGAUCCAGCCAUGCCGCGUGAGUGAUGAAGGCCCUAGGGUUGUAAAGCUCUUUCACCGAUGAAGAUAAUGACGGUAGUCGGAGAAGAAGCCCCGGCUAACUUCGUGCCAGCCGCCGCGGUAA
rnacentral:rRNA from 1 species